rnacentral:piRNA from 1 species
AUACGAGGUGGAAAUGUAGGUCAA